UUCUUCUCUCCUUCUAUCAAGCUAAGGUACGCAAUUUGCGUACUCUCGAAAAAAAAAACAAUCUGGUCACUUCCCCACGCCCCCUCGCAUCCGUUCCCCAUUCUCCCAUGGUCUCCCCCUGCUCUUCCUCCCCUUAAUGUCGAAUCUGGCCGCGGAAGUGGUCGUCGGAGGCGGGCGCGGAGGCGUGGGACUCGCACACCCCUGCUCUUCCCUACUCCUUCAUCGAAUCCGGUCGCCGAAGUGACCGAGGCGGUGCUCGAGCUCGGCAUGCUCGCCGGGGAUGCCGGGCUCCUCCCUCCUCCUGAUGUUGUCGCCGUCGCCGCCGCCGCCAUGAGCCUCUCCACCCUCUCCCGCGCUCGUCCCAGUACAGGGUUAUCUGCUCGGGGGCCAUGGCGUGUUCCGCGCGGUGCUGCCUUCGCCGCCGCCGCCGCCCGGCGAUGUGGGCGCUGCCGCGCUGGGUUGUGUCUCGUGCGUCGCUGCCUGACUUCCGGUCUGGGGAGACGGGCUUCAUUGGCCAACAAAUAGGGACGGGAAGGUCCGAGACUGGAGGUCCCUGCUCGCAAACUCGCAAUCCCGGAGGCUAUUCUACUACCAGUCGAAAAAGAAUAUCGCAAGAAGGUUAAUUAACCUGGUUCAAUGGUUUUUUCUGAUGUUGUGGAAGUGAUAUGUUGCUGCGAUGAUCAAUGAUUCCGCGAUGGCUGUUUCGGCGCUGAAACAAAGCCUACUUACUCACCUAGCUUACCUGGAUUCAAAGUGUUGACCAGGAUUCAUGGAAGGACGUCCGAUUUAGGUAAGGUUGACAAAGGAGCAUGCAUUUGCGGAACAGUUCGUCCGCGCCGACAUCGUCGGGAGAGCAGUGUCUGGUGAUGGCGCAAUACAGUCUGGGCGGAGGCGUCUUCUAGCCUAACGAAGCCUUGGCGGCAGUGGCGUGUAAAAGCCUUUUGAAAUUCAGAUCAGAGAAGAGCAUGCACCUAUGUUGGCGAGGAGGAGCUCCUUGUCGCUGUCGUGGGAGGGCGCCCGUGCGGCCGCACCUGUGUUGGGGAACAGCGCGUCGUCGUGGCCGUCGUCGACUGACUUGGCGAGCUCGUUGUCGCGGCCGUCCUUGGGUGCCUCGGCGGCUGCGCAGGGCAGCGACGGGGAUUGAUUCCCGCUAAUUUAGCUCCGUGUAAAUUGGACUGGACGUGUGUUGUUACCUUGUUUUUUUUUCUUUUUUGAGAAAAAGGACGUGGGUUGUAGACUCUUGCGGGCGUGGGUUGUUUGUGAGGGCGUGGACGGCAGAGUUUUCGUCCGCCUCCUGCUGAAGUUUUCUUGUUUAAUAGUAGUGUAGAUGUGACUAUAAUCAACGUCCUUGUUGCUCUCGCUGUCUAGUAAGACGGUAG